rnacentral:rRNA from 1 species
UACAGAGGUCUCAAGCGUUGUUCGGAUUCAUUGGGCGUAAAGGGUGCGUAGGUGGCGUCGUAAGUCAGGUGUGAAAUCUCGGGGGCUCAACCCCGAAACUGCACUUGAUACUGCGAUGCUCGAGUACUGGAGAGGAGAUUGGAAUUUACGGUGUAGCAGUGAAAUGCGUAGAUAUCGUGAGGAAGACCAGUGGCGAAGGCGGGUCUCUGGACAGUUCCUGACGCUGAGGCACGAAGGUCAGGGGAGCAAACGGG